rnacentral:rRNA from 1 species
UAGGGAAUCUUCCGCAAUGGACGCAAGUCUGACGGAGCAACGCCGCGUGAGUGAAGAAGGAUUUCGGUUCGUAAAACUCUGUUGUUAGAUAAGAACAGCGCAUAGAGUAACUGUUAUGCGUGUGACGGUAUCUAACCAGAAAGCCACGGCUAACUACGUGCCAGCAGCCGCGGUAAUACGUAGGUGGCAAGCGUUGUCCGGAUUUAUUGGGCGUAAAGCGAGCGCAGGCGGUCAAUUAAGUCUGAUGUGAAAGCCCCCGGCUCAACAGGGGAGGGUCAUUGGAAACUGGUUGACUUGAGUGCAGAAGAGGAGAGUGGAAUUCCAUGUGUAGCGGUGAAAUGCGUAGAUAUAUGGAGGAACACCAGUGGCGAAGGCGACUCUAUGGUCUGUAACUGACGCUGAGGCUCGAAAGCGUGGGUAGCAAACAGG